UACACAUCAAACACAUUGGGUGGCCCGCAGAGCUAUAGCGGGCAGAAUAGGGAAGCCGGUGCGAGUCCGGCGCAGUCGCGCUACUGUAACUGGCGAGCGACUCACCAGCCCCGAGAAGGGGCAUGAACAUACCACUACGCUCCGUUGAGCGCGGGAAGGUCGGUGAGAAGCGUUUGCAGCCAGAAGCCAGGAGACCUGCCCAAUAGUGCCGAUCUCA
rnacentral:ncRNA from 2 species